rnacentral:rRNA from 1 species
UUAAGCGACUAAGCGUACACGGUGGAUGCCCUGGCAGUCAGAGGCGAUGAAGGACGUGCUAAUCUGCGAAAAGCGUCGGUAAGGUGAUAUGAACCGUUAUAACCGGCGAUGUCCGAAUGGGGAAACCCAGUGCAAUUCGUUGCACUAUCGUUAACUGAAUACAUAGGUUAACGAGGCGAACCGGGGGAACUGAAACAUCUAAGUACCCCGAGGAAAAGAAAUCAACCGAGAUUCCCCCAGUAGCGGCGAGCGAACGGGGAGCAGCCCAGAGUCUGAAUCAGCUUGUGUGUUAGUGGAACGGUCUGGAAAGUCCGACGGUACAGGGUGAUAGUCCCGUACACCAAAAUGCACAGGCUGUGAACUCGAAGAGUAGGGCGGGACACGUGGUAUCCUGUCUGAAUAUGGGGGGACCAUCCUCCAAGGCUAAAUACUCCUGACUGACCGAUAGUGAACCAGUACCGUGAGGGAAAGGCGAAAAGAACCCCGGCGAGGGGAGUGAAAAAGAACCUGAAACCGUGUACGUACAAGCAGUGGGAGCACCUUCGGGUGUGGACUGCGUACCUUUUGUAUAAUGGGUCAGCGACUUAUAUUCUGUAGCAAGGUUAACCAUAUAGGGGAGCCGCAGGGAAACCGAGUCUUAACUGGGCGUUAAGUUGCAGGGUAUAGACCCGAAACCCGGUGAUCUAGCCAUGGGCAGGUUGAAGGUUGGGUAACACUAACUGGAGGACCGAACCGACUAAUGUUGAAAAUUAGCGGAUGACUUGUGGCUGGGGGUGAAAGGCCAAUCAAACCGGGAGAUAGCUGGUUCUCCCCGAAAGCUAUUUAGGUAGCGCCUCGUGAAUUCAUCUUCGGGGGUAGAGCACUGUUUCGGCUAGGGGGUCAUCCCGACUUACCAACCCGAUGCAAACUACGAAUACCGAAGAAUGUUAUCACGGGAGACACACGGCGGGUGCUAACGUCCGUCGUGAAGAGGGAAACAACCCAGACCGCCAGCUAAGGUCCCAAAGUCAUGGUUAAGUGGGAAACGAUGUGGGAAGGCACAGACAGCCAGGAUGUUGGCUUAGAAGCAGCCAUCAUUUAAAGAAAGCGUAAUAGCUCACUGGUCGAGUCGGCCUGCGCGGAAGAUGUAACGGGGCUAAACCAUGCACCGAAGCUGCGGCAGCGACACUAUGUGUUGUUGGGUAGGGGAGCGUUCUGUAAGCCUGCGAAGGUGACCUGUGAGGGUUGCUGGAGGUAUCAGAAGUGCGAAUGCUGACAUAAGUAACGAUAAAGCGGGUGAAAAGCCCGCUCGCCGGAAGACCAAGGGUUCCUGUCCAACGUUAAUCGGGGCAGGGUGAGUCGACCCCUAAGGCGAGGCCGAAAGGCGUAGUCGAUGGGAAACAGGUUAAUAUUCCUGUACUUGGUGUUACUGCGAAGGGGGGACGGAGAAGGCUAUGUUAGCCGGGCGACGGUUGUCCCGGUUUAAGCAUGUAGGCUGGUUAUCCAGGCAAAUCCGGAUAAUCAAGGCUGAGGUGUGAUGACGAGGCACUACGGUGCUGAAGUAACAAAUGCCCUGCUUCCAGGAAAAGCCUCUAAGCAUCAGGUAACAUCAAAUCGUACCCCAAACCGACACAGGUGGUCAGGUAGAGAAUACCAAGGCGCUUGAGAGAACUCGGGUGAAGGAACUAGGCAAAAUGGUGCCGUAACUUCGGGAGAAGGCACGCUGGUGUGUAGGUGAAGCCCCUGCGGGUGGAGCUGAGACCAGUCGAAGAUACCAGCUGGCUGCAACUGUUUAUUAAAAACACAGCACUGUGCAAACACGAAAGUGGACGUAUACGGUGUGACGCCUGCCCGGUGCCGGAAGGUUAAUUGAUGGGGUUAUCCGUAAGGAGAAGCUCUUGAUCGAAGCCCCGGUAAAACGGCGGCCGUAACUAUAACGGUCCUAAGGUAGCGAAAUUCCUUGUCGGGUAAGUUCCGACCUGCACGAAUGGCGUAAUGAUGGCCAGGCUGUCUCCACCCGAGACUCAGUGAAAUUGAACUCGCUGUGAAGAUGCAGUGUACCCGCGGCAAGACGGAAAGACCCCGUGAACCUUUACUAUAGCUUGACACUGAACAUUGAGCCUUGAUGUGUAGGAUAGGUGGGAGGCUUUGAAGCGUGGACGCCAGUCUGCGUGGAGCCAACCUUGAAAUACCACCCUUUAAUGUUUGAUGUUCUAACGUUGGCCCCUGACCGGGGUUGCGGACAGUGUCUGGUGGGUAGUUUGACUGGGGCGGUCUCCUCCCAAAGCGUAACGGAGGAGCACGAAGGUUAGCUAAUCCUGGUCGGACAUCAGGAGGUUAGUGCAAUGGCAUAAGCUAGCUUGACUGCGAGCGUGACGGCGCGAGCAGGUGCGAAAGCAGGUCAUAGUGAUCCGGUGGUUCUGAAUGGAAGGGCCAUCGCUCAACGGAUAAAAGGUACUCCGGGGAUAACAGGCUGAUACCGCCCAAGAGUUCAUAUCGACGGCGGUGUUUGGCACCUCGAUGUCGGCUCAUCACAUCCUGGGGCUGAAGUAGGUCCCAAGGGUAUGGCUGUUCGCCAUUUAAAGUGGUACGCGAGCUGGGUUUAGAACGUCGUGAGACAGUUCGGUCCCUAUCUGCCGUGGGCGCUGGAGAAUUGAGGGGGGCUGCUCCUAGUACGAGAGGACCGGAGUGGACGCAUCACUGGUGUUCGGGUUGUCAUGCCAAUGGCACUGCCCGGUAGCUAAAUGCGGAAGAGAUAAGUGCUGAAAGCAUCUAAGCACGAAACUUGCCCCGAGAUGAGUUCUCCCUGAGACUUUAAGUCUCCUGAAGGAACGUUGAAGACGACGACGUUGAUAGGCCGGGUGUGUAAGCGCAGCGAUGCGUUGAGCUAACCGGUACUAAUGAACCGUGAGGCUUAACCUU